UACGUAGGGGGCAAGCGUUGUCCGGAAUCAUUGGGCGUAAAGAGCGUGUAGGCGGCCAGAUAAGUCCGCUGUGAAAACUCGAGGCUCAACUUCGAGCUGUCGGUGGAAACUAUUUGGCUAGAGUCCGGAAGAGGAGAGUGGAAUUCCUGGUGUAGCGGUGAAAUGCGCAGAUAUCAGGAGGAACACCGGUGGCGAAGGCGGAUCUCUGGGCCAUUACUGACGCUGAGAAGCGAAAGCCAGGGGAGCAAACGGG
rnacentral:rRNA from 1 species